rnacentral:tRNA from 1 species
CUCCGUAUAGCUCAGUCUGGUAGAGCAUAUCGUUUGGGACGAUAGGGUCCGAUGUUCAAAUCAUCGUACGGAGACCA